rnacentral:rRNA from 1 species
GACGAACGCUGGCGGCGUGCUUAACACAUGCAAGUCGAACGGAAAGGCCCUGCUUUUGUGGGGUGCUCGAGUGGCGAACGGGUGAGUAACACGUGAGUAACCUGCCCUUGACUUUGGGAUAACUUCAGGAAACUGGGGCUAAUACCGGAUAGGAGCUCCUGCUGCAUGGUGGGGGUUGGAAAGUUUCGGCGGUUGGGGAUGGACUCGCGGCUUAUCAGCUUGUUGGUGGGGUAGUGGCUUACCAAGGGUUUGACGGGUAGCCGGCCUGAGAGGGUGACCGGCCACAUUGGGCCUGAGAUACGGCCCAGACUCCUACGGGAGGCAGCAGUAGGGAAUAUUGCACAAUGGGCGGACGCCUGAUGCAGCAACGCCGCGUGCGGGAUGACGGCCUUCGGGUUGUAAACCGCUUUCGCCUAUGACGAAGCGUGAGUGACGGUAAUGGGUAAAGAAGCACCGGCUAACUACGUG